rnacentral:misc_RNA from 1 species
UGUGUUGGCAAUCUUGCAGAUUUGGUAUGCUUAUCACCCUAAUUUGCGAUGUGCAGGUUAUCUAUGUAACAGGAUUAUGGAUAUGGUUAUUAAUAAAACAAUUUUUGAAACAUAUGCAUGUACCUGGCUUAUAAUGUAGAGGUCAGGAGUUCAAAUCCUAGUAGCCUCCUCCCUCCUUAAAAAUUUCAGAAGCUCAUUUUUCUAUGAUAUGUAUCUGGAUAGUGGACUGGAUACCUGAUUUAGUGUUUAUAUUAUGAAAUCAGUUUCUUUAAUGCAGGGAUUGCUUAAAAAACUUUAGAAUAACUGGUCUGAACUUUUUCUUUAAUUUUUUGAAUUAGCAAAUAUAUGCAUAUGAGGAACGAUGUUAAUUAAGAGAGUGGUGCUGUUAACGUGGUUGGCCCUUUCAGUGUGGACUUCAAGGGCAAGAUAUGAGCUUAUGGUUUGUUACGAUGACAUUGCGUAUCAGUGGCUUCACGUGCAUCAUUGUCCUAUUUAUUGGCUUGCUGAUAAUUAUACAAUGUCAAUUUAAAGUUGAAAUGUGCUUGUUUCAUGUGUAAUGAGUAUUGAUUAAUAAUUUUGUUUGAAUUACUUACAGUUUUGCUGCAUAGUAAUUUCAACUGUUUUUGAUGGACAUCAUCUCAUGUCUUGUGAAGCUUGGAACUGGUCUUAGCAUAAU